CCUACGGGAGGCAGCAGUGGGGAAUAUUGCACAAUGGGGGAAACCCUGAUGCAGCGACGCCGCGUGAGUGAAGAAGUAUUUCGUUAUGUAAAGCUCUAUCAGCAGGGAAGAAAAUGACGGUACCUGAGUAAGAAGCCCCGGCUAACUACGUGCCAGCAGCCGCGGUAAUACGUAGGGGGCAAGCGUUAUCCGGAUUUACUGGGUGUAAAGGGAGCGUAGACGGCAGGGCAAGUCUGGAGGUAAAGGCGGGGGCUCAACCCCCGGACUGCUGUGGAAACUGUGCGGCUUGAGUGCAGGAGAGGUAGGUGGAAUUCCGAGUGUAGCGGUGAAAUGCGUAGAUAUGAGGAGGAACACCGGUGGCGAAGGCGGCUUACUGGACUGUAACUGACGUUGAGGCUCGAAAGCGUGGGGAGCAAACAGGAUUAGAUACCCUUGUAGUC
rnacentral:rRNA from 1 species